AAGGAACGUUCUUUUCAGACGUCUAGAGAACUGACCCGAGAAGGGCCACCAACAACUCAAGUUUAGGCCACGACUCUAUCAGAGCAACUAUCUACUUCUGUUCAAAUCCUGACCCCUGACGCGUGGCAGGAAUUUAACCCGUCCGUUUUUUAGGCCUUCUUCUGUGAACCAAGGGUAAUAAAGACAGCUCUUUUUAUGACGUUACUGUGAGGGCUGAGUUGAUAUUUAGCAAGCGCAGAGAAAAAUGCCUAACACACAUUAAACACCUAUUUCAGUGCUGGCUACUCUUACUGAUAGUAACACUGCCUUGGCUUCCCUUUCAGAAAAUUUAAGAAUUGUACUGUGCCCCCGCUUUCAAAGCCACUCAGUGAAGGCUGAGGAUUUCUCGAUGUUUCUAACAGGAAGGAAGUCCUGGAGGAUAAAGUAAGAAGGUAUGAGGGAUGUGUCCAGGUGUUCAGGGAUCCCCAAGGGCCCAAACACAGACUUUACGGUAGAACGAGCGGUUUUUCGGCCAGGAUCCUGGGAGAUUGGACUUCUAUCCCUCAUUCCGGCCUGAGUCUUUUCUUUAGACCUGGCAGCGUCGCACGUUGGAAACGCAGGCAAAUCCGGGCAGCGCGACCCCGUGGGGUGAUGGGCUUGGGAACUCAGCGCUGACCGACUCAAGUGCCCUGGCCAGAAUGCCAGAGCCGGGUGGGGCAGAAGAACCUGAAGCCCCGGCCGCCGGCCCCGACCGGGACUCAGGGCCUGGGAGCCGCGCGGCCCUUUCUCUUCCACAAAGGGCUGAGGCGCAACCGUGGGGCUCAGGAGCAGGUGGCCCUGAGACCGGGUGGGCAUUCCUGGACCUCCCCUACACACGCUAGCGUUCAUAGCUGCCGGACCUGCACUACAGCCGGGCCUCAGCCACGUGGUCGCACCCUGGCCCCGCCCCCGACGUCCACACGCGGUCUGCGCGGGGCCUUGUGGGCUGCACGGCGCCCCCUAGUCCCAGGCCAGGGCUUGGGGCAAAGCCUCCUUGCCCCGGUCACUGCUGCUUUCGGGCCUCUGCAGUCGCAGUGCCUUUGCCCCAGGCCUACAGUCUCAUGAACCCUCCUGCUUGGGCAGGGACAGGUAACAGAGAUAAUAGGAUAAUGGAGGAUAAUGCUGUACCAGGAACUAACAAUCCAUCGGGGGAAACAUGGCCCCAAACAGCAUUCAAGUCCAUACCCUUCUGCUUUAUUCUUAAGGGCAGAAAAUACUGAUGCAGCAACAGCAAUCUAAGACCAGUAGGCAAAUGGAGAGGGAAGGAAAGGAUGCAAGAGUAAAUCUAAGUUUCCAUCUCCGGAAGAAAUAGACCCCAACCUGAAAACACCAAAUUCUGCCGCUAAAAAGGAGGCGUCUUUGGAAGAAAUAGGGAGUCCCGCCCUCACCCUAUCCCAGUCUUGUCCUCUCUCCCUCUCUAGACCCAAACAGGAAAAACUAAACAUCACUGGCGACUUUGCACUCGGGAGAAGUCUUUGCUCGCGCCCACUGGGCAGGUUUCCGAGCGGGUCUCUCCUAUCUGCAGGCACCGCGCGCCUUCGCUUAACCCCUUCCUGUCCGACCGGCGCCAUAGCCACCCCCGCCCCGAAACCGCCUCCGCGGACG
ensembl:lncRNA